GCCCUCAUCAAUCCUAUAGGAAUUGAAAAUGUUGUAAAUACUGAGCUAUUCCUACAUCUACUCUAACAUAACAAGUGCAGACAACUUCUCUAGUUAUUACUUCCCAAGACCUCUCCUGUUACACAAAAAUCCAUGAGUUUCUUUCCAAUCAGAUGGAGGGUAUAAGUUCUGUGUAGAUCAUCUUCAGGCAUCUGACUUGCUUAGACUUGCCCUUGCUAGCUUUGAUAAUCAACUCCACCGUUUCAUCCUACUUGAGAUUACUAGCUCAUUGCCCCUGGAUCCAAUCAAGAGAUCAAUCUUGUGAAGUACAACAAUGGGUGCAUGACCGAGCCUCAUAUGCCAGAUGUAAAGGUAUGAAUCAAAGGUAGAACUAGAAGAAUGAAGAGCUUUGACAGGUGUUGGCUUCUUAGUGGUGGAUGGGAGCAUGCAAAGUCCUCCUUCUUUCUUACAAUCCCCCUCACCUUGCCAGUGCAAAGGUCCUGGAACAAAUAGAAGGAUGGAUAAAAAGAAACACAAUAAUUCAGUUCUUUUAUAAGUUUAGAGAUAGACAAAAGGUUGUAGGCAAAAUGAGGUAUGUAUAAGACAUCUUGUAGUUCACUGUUGUAAAAAAUAACAAUAGAACCAGUGUGAGAAACUGUGGUGGUUCGACCAUUUGGUAAGUGAACAAAACUGGAAUUAGGAGGGAUUGAAAUAGAAUGUAGUAGUGAAUUCAAGUUUGAUACCAUGUGAUUCGUAGAUCCAAUGUCCAUAAUCCAGGGAAUUGUAUCAGUACCUAUAGAGAAACAAGCAUUGAAUGUAUGUAGUAUAGAGUGAUUUCUAUGAGAAGUACCUGCCAUGUUAGUAGCCAUGUCCUUUGAUGCAA